rnacentral:tmRNA from 1 species
GGGGCUGCAUUGGUUUCGACAUGGGUUCGGGCACGCAGCAGGGCAUGUCGAGGUUCUGUCACCUCGUAAAACCGCAGAAAAAAACUAACUGCAAACGACGAACGUUUCGCACUCGCCGCUUAAUCCGGUGAGCCUCGCAACAGUUGGCCAAUAGGCUGGGUGAGGGUGGCUGAAAAGCUGUCCUGACUGCGAGGGAAUCCAUAUUGGCUGGCAUGGCGUCGUGCUCCUUGACGUCAUGCGAGAUUCAAGGGGGCUGGCUUCUCGUGUGGCGUGCCGCUGCGCAGCACAAGAGGCGAGACACCAAUCAGACGGCUACACAUGUAGAACUGCUCGGAGAAGGCUUGUGGACGCGGGUUCAAAUCCCGCCAGCUCCACCA